CGGGUGAGUAAUACAUUCGGAACGUGUCCUGGAGUGGGGGAUAGCCCGGCGAAAGCCGGAUUAAUACCGCAUACGCUCUAUGGAGGAAAGCGGGGGAUCUUCGGACCUCGCGCUCAAGGGGCGGCCGAUGGCGGAUUAGCUAGUUGGUGGGGUAAAGGCCUACCAAGGCGACGAUCCGUAGCUGGUCUGAGAGGACGACCAGCCACACUGGGACUGAGACACGGCCCAGACUCCUACGGGAGGCAGCAGUGGGGAAUUUUGGACAAUGGGCGAAAGCCUGAUCCAGCAAUGCCGCGUGUGUGAAGAAGGCCUUCGGGUUGUAAAGCACUUUUGUCCGGAAAGAAAUCAUCGAAGCUAAUAUCUUUGGUGGAUGACGGUACCGGAAGAAUAAGCACCGGCUAACUACGUGCCAGCAGCCGCGGUAAUACGUAGGGUGCGAGCGUUAAUCGGAAUUACUGGGCGUAAAGCGUGCGCAGGCGGUGAUGUAAGACCGAUGUGAAAUCCCCGGGCUUAACCUGGGAACUGCAUUGGUGACUGCAUCGCUGGAGUAUGGCAGAGGGGGGUAGAAUUCCACGUGUAGCAGUGAAAUGCGUAGAGAUGUGGAGGAAUACCGAUGGCGAAGGCAGCCCCCUGGGCCAAUACUGACGCUCAUGCACGAAAGCGUGGGGAGCAAACAGGAUUAGAUACCCUGGUAGUCCACGCCCUAAACGAUGUCAACUGGUUGUCGGGCCUUCAUUGGCUUGGUAACGUAGCUAACGCGUGAAGUUGACCGCCUGGGGAGUACGGUCGCAAGAUUAAAACUCAAAGGAAUUGACGGGGACCCGCACAAGCGGUGGAUGAUGUGGAUUAAUUCGAUGCAACGCGAAAAACCUUACCUACCCUUGACAUGUACGGAAUCCUGCUGAGAGGUGGGAGUGCCCGAAAGGGAGCCGUAACACAGGUGCUGCAUGGCUGUCGUCAGCUCGUGUCGUGAGAUGUUGGGUUAAGUCCCGCAACGAGCGCAACCCUUGUCCCUAGUUGCUACGCAAGAGCACUCCAGGGAGACUGCCGGUGACAAACCGGAGGAAGGUGGGGAUGACGUCAAGUCCUCAUGGCCCUUAUGGGUAGGGCUUCACACGUCAUACAAUGGUCGGAACAGAGGGUUGCCAAGCCGCGAGGUGGAGCCAAUCCCAGAAAACCGAUCGUAGUCCGGAUCGCAGUCUGCAACUCGACUGCGUGAAGCUGGAAUCGCUAGUAAUCGCGGAUCAGCAUGCCGCGGUGAAUACGUUCCCGGGUCUUGUACACACCGCCCGUCACACCAUGGGAGUGGGUUUUACCAGAAGUGGCUAGUCUAACCGCAAGGAGGACGGUCACCACGGUAGGAUUCAUGACUGGGGUGAAGUCGUAACAAGGUAGCCGUAUCGGAAGGUGCGGCUGGAUCACCUCCUUUCCAGAGCUUGGCGUCAAAGCUCAAGUGCUCACGCUUAUCGGCUGUAAGACAUGACAGACUCAGGGGUCUGUAGCUCAGUCGGUUAGAGCACCGUCUUGAUAAGGCGGGGGUCGAUGGUUCGAAUCCAUCCAGACCCACCAAAGUCUUGUCUGGUGAGCUGACCGUCUAGCACCCCUGUGGCAUCUGUGUGACCGGGGGAUUAGCUCAGCUGGGAGAGCACCUGCUUUGCAAGCAGGGGGUCGUCGGUUCGAUCCCGUCAUCCUCCACCAAUCCUCAAUACAGAACGCUCUGCAGCGGCAUGGCAGAGCCUUAUGUAUUGGCGAUUGAGCCAGUCAGAAACGAUGCUGGGCAUGGCGCCCGUAUCGGCUGUCGUUCUUUAACAAUCAGGAAGAAGCAGUAAGAAGAUUCACAUCGAAAGCGGUUAGAGAUGGCCGUGAGUAGGGUGAAUCAGGGUUGUGAUUGUAUCGAUGUAUCUCAAGACUCGCGGGUCGCAAGGCUCGCGGACAUUGGAAUACGGCACAACGCGAAUACUCAGCCUGUAAUGUGUGUGACGGAUCGUCCCCUACGGGGAUGAGACCAGCGUAAGCGCUCAAGCGCCAACGCUGGUCGCAAGACACACCCGUUAUAGGGUCAAGCGAACAAGUGCAUGUGGUGGAUGCCUUGGCGAUCACAGGCGAUGAAGGACGCGGUAGCCUGCGAAAAGCGGUGGGGAGCUGGCAAACGAGCUUUGAUCCACCGAUAUCCGAAUGGGGAAACCCACUCCGAAUGGAGUAUCCGUAGCUGAAUACAUAGGCUAUGUGAGGCGAACGCGGCGAACUGAAACAUCUAAGUAGCCGCAGGAACAGAAAUCAACCGAGAUUCCCAAAGUAGUGGCGAGCGAAAUGGGACCAGCCUGUACUCUUUAUCUUUAUUGUUAGCCAAACGCUCUGGAAAGUGCGGCCAUAGUGGGUGAUAGCCCCGUCGGCGAAAACAGUAGGGAAGAACUAGGUGUACGACAAGUAGGGCGGGACACGUGAAAUCCUGUCUGAAGAUGGGGGGACCAUCCUCCAAGGCUAAAUACUCGUGAUCGACCGAUAGUGAACCAGUACCGUGAGGGAAAGGCGAAAAGAACCCCGGGAGGGGAGUGAAACAGAUCCUGAAACCGCAUGCAUACAAACAGUCGGAGCCUCGCAAGGGGUGACGGCGUACCUUUUGUAUAAUGGGUCAGCGACUUACAUUCAGUGGCGAGCUUAACCGAAUAGGGCAGGCGUAGCGAAAGCGAGUCCGAACAGGGCGUCCAGUCGCUGGGUGUAGACCCGAAACCAGGUGAUCUAUCCAUGGCCAGGAUGAAGGUGCGGUAACACGUACUGGAGGUCCGAACCCACUAACGUUGAAAAGUUAGGGGAU
rnacentral:misc_RNA from 1 species